rnacentral:rRNA from 1 species
AGAGUUUGAUCCUGGCUCAGGACGAACGCUGGCGGCGUGCCUAACACAUGCAAGUCGAACGGAGCGAAAGCAGCUUGCUGCUGGAGCUUAGUGGCGGACGGGUGAGUAACACGUGAGCAACCUGCCUUUCAGAGGGGAAUAAUGUCUGGAAACGGACACUAAUGCCGCAUAACAUCUUUUAACUGCAUGGUUGAGAGAUCAAAGGAGUAAUCCGCUGAAAGAUGGGCUCGCGUCUGAUUAGGUAGUUGGUGAGGUAACGGCCCACCAAGCCGACGAUCAGUAGCCGGUCUGAGAGGAUGAACGGCCACACUGGAACUGAGACACGGUCCAGACUCCUACGGGAGGCAGCAGUGGGGAAUCUUCCGCGAUGGGCGAAAGCCUGACGGAGCAACGCCGCGUGGGUGAUGACGGCCUUCGGGUUGUAAAGCCCUGUGACAGGGGACGAACGUUUCUUGUAUCAACAACGCAAGGAAGUGACGGUACCCUGAUAGCAAGCCACGGCUAACUACGUGCCAGCAGCCGCGGUAAUACGUAGGUGGCAAGCGUUGUCCGGAAUUAUUGGGCGUAAAGCGCGCGCAGGCGGCCCUUUAAGUCCAUCUUAAAAGUGCGGGGCUUAACCCCGUGAUGGGAUGGAAACUGGAGAGCUGGAGUAUCGGAGAGGAAAGCGGAAUUCCUAGUGUAGCGGUGAAAUGCGUAGAGAUUAGGAAGAACACCGGUGGCGAAGGCGGCUUUCUGGACGACAACUGACGCUGAGGCGCGAAAGCGUGGGGAGCAAACAGGAUUAGAUACCCUGGUAGUCCACGCCGUAAACGA